ensembl:lncRNA
AUGCAAAUUGCUGCACUUAAAAAAGGCCGGCGCUGGAGUUUGAUGGGGAGCGUUUCCCGUACAGCCAUCCGAUUAUAUUUCCGGCGUUGUUUUGGAGGAACGUGUGGUGAUUUACAUCAGAUGUCAUGCGUGUGUCAGGAUCAGCAGCCCAUGGAAUGCAUGUUGUUUGAAGACGGUUUGAUGAGGUUCUUCUUACCUGUGCCACUGACUUCAGUCAAGAAGACAAAGAAGUGCUGUAAACUCCUCAACCUUCACUCACACUUUCAUUUAAUGGCUGAAUUCGGGAUCACCGAGUUCCUGCAACUAAACACACACACACCUGAAACUGCAGCACUGUGUUCUGGUUUGCUAAAACUAAUUUUGCUGCACAAAACUCUUCAAGCAGUGACACAAUUCUCAAAAAUAGAAACGCUUUUCAGCUGUAUUCACACACGGUCACACAGAUGUUUUCUUUUUGCGCAGAUGCAGCUUUAACCAUGUUCUUAUUCAGCACAAGCUCUGAGUCCUGAUGAAUAGAGCUUCCAGUCAAGAGUUUGUCACUGCAUAGUUUUGGGAUUGUGUUUAUUGAUUAGAGUUUUUGGUCCAACUUUUUAUUAGGUGUCUCUAACUGCUAUACACUUAGGCCAUAAAAAAAAUUAAUUGUUAGGUACAGUGUACUUAUUGUCUUUAGCUGCUUUAGCUGCUGUUGAGGUGGGAUACAGGUAAGUUUAGGACAGGUUGGGUGGGUUAAGGGGUAGAGGUAGUGAAUUAUUAAAUUUUAAAUAGAUAUGUAACUGCAUCCGGGUAUUUUUUUUAAAUACUACUACAAUGUAAAAAAUAAAAAAAUAAAAAAACAAGUACAUGAAUAUAGUUAAAGACACUUAAUAUAAAGUGGGCCUGAGAUUUUAUGUAUGCAUGUAUGUAUGAAUGAAUGUUUAUAUAUAUAUAUAUAUAUAUAUAUAUAUAUAUUUUUUUUUUUUUUUUUUUUUUUUUUGCUAAAAAGUAAAGUAAGCAAAAUUUUUAUUGCCAGUUUACUUUCGAACCUAGUAUUUUUGUGAGUAUAAUCUAUAUGGAGAGUUCAUCCACUAAAGAAAACUCUAUCGUUAUUUAAUCUCUCUCAUGUUGGUCCAAACCCGUAGGCUGUUAUUUGUUUAAAAGGAUGAUUAUUAAUGAAUAAUGACUUAAACUGUGGUCUGUCCCUCACAGAGCUGGAUUUAUAUGGACUGCUUUAACCCUUGUGUGGUGUUCAUAUUUUUGUUAUUCAGCCAGUGUUUGUGGGUCUGGUCUUUGGGUUUUUAAUUCAACACAAUCAAACAAUUUUAUGUUAAAUACUCAACAGAUGUUUACUUAAUCCCAGUUGCAAGCAAAAUAAACAGAAUAUAUGGUUAAUAUUUGCCCUUUACCUUUGUUAUAUCACAUUUAUGGAUUAAUAACACUAUUAUGGUGUUUCUCCAUUUGUGAUUCAUGUACAGAAUAAGGCUCUGGGAUGAGUUUGAUUUGGUAAUUGGCUGAUUUUUGUUCUGAUGUCCCUGUCAUUGGUCUCUGACUCACAGCAGCAGUUUAGUCCUAGGCUUUUAUCGUGGCAGGUUUGAGAGGAUCACGCUCAGGCCUCAGUCUGCUAAUGCAUGUGUCACGCUGUGUCCAGCGCUCAGUGAUUAGCAUGACAGUCACUGGUCACAGCCUCGCCAUACGAGGCUUCCUCUUUCUGCUCUCACACGUCCAACCUCUUCAGCUUCACCUACCACCGCGCUUUUAAAUCUGAGCUGACAGCGCAUUUGACUAAAAACUGUCAGCCGUUUGUUUGGCUCCUAAUUCAGCGGUCACUUUCAAUUAGUUUUUAUCUCAUCCUAAACAAUGCAGCAUGCAAAGUUCCUCCAGACAGCCUAGCUGACCUCGUGAACCUGCAGCUCUUUGUGUUUGUCAGAGAACGAGGGGUUAUAAAAGUCUUUAGGGUUUUGAUAGCCGCUCAAAACACUGUGCAUUUAUUUAACCCUUGUGCUGAAAAUCCUUCACCUAAUGUCAAAACUGACCUGCCUUUAAAAAAGCUGCUCUUAAAUGUCUCGUUAUUCUUUAUUAUUACCAAAUAUUGGAUUCAAUCUUUUUAUCAGCUUGUUUUCUUUGAGUUAGCAAGGUAAUUUUCUUUUUGGAACUGAAUGAUUGUAGGUCUCACUGAUCUGAGCUCAUGCACCUCAGUUUUGAGUGACAUAAGCGGCAUUUUUGGAUAAUAAACUCUGAUCACUGCCAAAAACAAAACCUGUGCUAAUUUAAAGAAAACAAGGUAUUUAAAAUAAAUUUGUAAUAAUAUGGUAUUAAAAUUUUCU